GACGAACGCUGGCGGCGUGCUUAACACAUGCAAGUCGAACGGUGACGGAGAGCUUGCUCUCCUGAUCAGUGGCGAACGGGUGAGUAACACGUGGGCAACCUGCCCAGACCUCGGGAUAACGCUUCGAAAGAGGUGCUAAUACCGAAUACGAACGCCGUGGGCAUCCACGGUGUUGGAAAGUUUUCGGUCUGGGAUGGGCCCGCGGCCUAUCAGCUUGUUGGUGAGGUAAUGGCUCACCAAGGCGACGACGGGUAGCCGGCCUGAGAGGGCGACCGGCCACACUGGGACUGAGACACGGCCCAGACUCCUACGGGAGGCAGCAGUGGGGAAUAUUGCGCAAUGGGCGAAAGCCUGACGCAGCAACGCCGCGUGGGGGAUGAAGGCCUUCGGUUGUAAACCUCUUCUAGCAGGAAGAAGCGAAAGUGACGGUACCGUGCAGAAGAAGACACCGGCUAACU
rnacentral:rRNA from 1 species